rnacentral:rRNA from 1 species
CUACUGGGGUAUCUAAUCCUGUUUGCUCCCCACGCCUUCGAGCCUCAACGUCAGUUGUCGUCCAGUAAGCCGCCUUCGCCUCCGGUGUUCCUCCUAAUAUCUACGCAUUUCACCGCUACACUAGGAAUUCCGCUUACCCCUCCGACACUCAAGCCAAACAGUUUCCAAAGCAAUUCAUGGGUUGAGCCCAUGCAUUUCACUUCAGACUUGCUUGGCCGUCUGCGCUCCCUUUACACCCAGUAAAUCCGGAUAACGCUUGCCCCCUACGUAUUACCGCGGCUGCUGGCAC